GUCAGGAGACCGGGGGACCCCAGGUCCCGGGGCCGGUGGGCCGGGCCUCCUUGGGGCCGCUCCGCGCGCCAGCCCCCCCAGACCAGAGCCCGCGGCAGCCGACCCGCAGAUUCCUCAUCAGCCAAAGGAGCUCGUUAGAGGGGACAGUUCGCCGCCGCUGUGGGGAGUCUUCUCUCCUGUAAGGACACCAAAGAGGAACGGAGCACACGCUGGAGGCAGGCAGUGUCGGCAGAGAGGAGUCUCACACCCACGCGGGGCAGCAGCGGCCGGGCAGCAGGGGCACCCAGCAGGUGCCACCGGGGCCAUCACCCACACUGCUCCUGUGAGCGUCGCAUAAGAUGCCUCCUGAUGGACAUGCACCCUCACCUUUCUCGGGUACAGUCUGGGACUGCAGUUGCCGGAUCACAGCACUUGCACGCUUGACUUCAUUAGAAAAUGCCGAUCAGUUUUCCAAAGAGAGUUUAACAUUUCCUGCAGCAGGUAUGACAGUUCCAGCUGGACCACAUUUUGGCCAACAGUUCUUAUUAUCAAUCCCUUGGUUUUGGAUGUGAAAUGGUACCCUACUGUGGUUUAAUUUGCAUUUUCCUCAUUGCUAGAGAAGUUGUGAACAUUUCACAUGCUUCUGAGCUGUUUGGAUUUCUUCUUUAACACAGUUAAACAUCGUUCAAGUCUUUUGACAAUUUUAACAGAGUUCUUUUUGUUUUACCUAUUGAUUUGGCAUUGUUCUUUGUAUAUUCUGGAUACGAGUUUUUUAUCAGAUCUACUGUUGGGGUGUCUGGGUGGCCUCGGUCGUUUAAGUGGCCAACUCUUAAUUUCAGCUCAGGUCAUGAUCCCACGGUUCAUGGUGUUGAGCCCUGUGUCGGGCUCUGCACUGGCAGCUGGCAGCGCAGAACCUGCUUAGGAUUCUCUCUCUUUCUCUCUCUGCCCCUACCCCCGUCAGAAUAAAUAAAUAAACUUAAAAAGAAAGAUAUAUCUACUGUGAAUAUUUUCCCCAGUCUAUAGAUGUCUUUUAAACUUGCUUUUGAUGAGUGAGAGUUUUAAAUUUUGAUAAAGAAAGAAAGAAAACAAAACAAGAAAGAAAGAAAGAAAGAAAGAAAGAAAGAAAGAAAGAAAUGAAGGAAGGAAGGUAUAAAGAUUGGUAAGAAAGAAAUGAAGCUUUCUUUGUUUGCAGAUUACAUGAUUGCCUAUGUAGCAAAUCUGAAAUAGUUGCCAAAAAAUUCUGGAUUUAAUAAGCAAUUAUAACAAGAUUACAGGAUACAAGGUCAGUAUACAAAAGUCAAUCACUUACCUCUAUACCAGCAAUGAACAAGUGGAGUUUGAAAUAAAAAAACAUAAUAUCAGUUACAUUAGAACCCCAAAAUGAAAUACUUAGGUAUACACUUAACAAAGUUCAUGUGUAAGAUCUGCAUGAGAAAAACUAUAAAACUCUGAUGAAAGGUAAUCAAAGACCUAAAUAAAUGGGGAGAUAGUCCAUGUUGAUGAAACGGAAUUCACAACGUCAGCAUGUCGGUUUUCCCCAGCUGUCUCUAUAGAUUGAAUGCAAUCCCGAUCAAAGUUCCAGCAAGUUUUUGUGCAGAUAUUGGCAAGCUGAUUCUAACAUUUAUAUGUACAGGCAAAAGACCCCAUAGCCAAUACACUAUUAAGGGAGAAGAACAAAGUUUGAGGACUGGCAGUGUCCAACGUCAAGACCUACUGUAAAGCUACAGUAAUCAAGACUGUGUGGUAUUAGCAGAAGAAUGGACAAAUAGAUCAAUGGGACAGAAUACAGAGCCCAGAAAUAGACCCCAUAAAUAUGUGCAGCAGAUUAGCAUAAUGAAAAGAUGCUCCACAUCACAUGUCAUUAGGGAAUUAUAAAUUAAAACAAAGAAAAACAACAGUGAGAUUCCAGGGCACACCUGUUGGAACAGCCAGAGCCUGAUGCUGACAACGGCCGUGCUGAUGAGGACACAGGACUGUCAUUCACUGCUGGCGGGAAAGGUGCAGCUGCUUUGGAGGACAGUUUGGCAGUCACAACACUAAACAUACUCUCACCAUACGCCCCAGCAACCAUGCUCCUUGAUAUCGACCCAAAUGGGCUGAAAACAUGUCCACACAAUAAUCUGCAUGCGCAUGUUUAUAGCAGCUUUAUUCAUAAUUGCAAAACCCCGGAAACAACUAAGACAUCCUUCAGUAGAUGAAUGGAUAAACAGAUUGUGGUACACUGGAGGAAACUUACUUAUUGCUAAGUGAAAGAAACCAGUCUGAAAGGCUACGUAGUAUAUAAUUUCAAGUAUGUGACAUUCUAGAAAAGGCAAAACUGUAGACAAUAAAAAGGCCGAUGGUUGCUGAGAGUUAGUGGGCAGGAAAGACAGAAGCUGUUUAGGGCAGUAUCAGUAUGAUUCUAUAAUGGUGGACACAUGCCAUACAUUUGCCAAAACCAUAGAAUGUCCAACACCAAGAGUGAACCCCAACAUAAACCAUGGACGUUGGGCGAUCAUGCUGUCAAUGUAGGUUCACUCACUGAUUAUAGCAAAGGUACCACUCUGGUGCAGAAUUUGGAUAGUGGGAGGCUGCGUGCAGGUGCAGGGCAGAGGGUAUCUGACAACUUUCUGUACUUUGUGCUCAGUUUUGCUAUGAACCUAAAACUGCUCUGAAAGUGAAAUCUCCCCCCAUCAAGUUUUUAAUUUCUUCCAAAAUAAUGCUGAAAUUUUGACUGAGAUGACAUUGAAUCCAUAGAUUAGUUUGGAGAACACGGACAGCUUAACAAUAUUGAGUCGCCCAAUCCCAGAAUAUAAUGUAUACCCAAAGUGUUGGGUCUACUUUAUUUAUUUUGUAAUUUUUUUAAUGUUUACUUAUUUUUGACAGAGCAUGCCUGUGGGGGGAGGGGCAGAGAGAGAGGGAGACACAAUAUCAGAAGCAGGCUCCAGGCUCUGAGUGGUCAGCACAGAGCCCAAUGCGGGGCUCAAACUCACAGACUGUGAGAUCAUGACCUGAGCCGAAGUCAGUCACUCAACCGACUGAGCCACCCAGGCGCCCCCUGUUGGGUCUACUUUAGAUUUUUUAAAGCAGUGUUUUAUAUAUUUUUUUCCUAUAGGACUUUGCACAUC